CUCAACGACAUUAAUAUAGCAAACACAACCCGAACACUUCAAAAACUGAAAACCAGAGAAUAUUGCUUGGGUAACAAAGCUAGCUCACUCCUGGCCACCCGGCUCAGGGACGUGCAAGCACAAACCAAAAUAGCAUACCUCACUUCCCACGACGGACAGAAAAUAAUUAAGCCACAACAAAUCAGCGAACUUUUUGCUGAUUUUUACAGCAAACUCUAAAAUCUAAAAGAUGAUGCUACAGUACACCAGCC